rnacentral:rRNA from 1 species
GAUGAACGCUGGCGGCGUGCCUAAUACAUGCAAGUCGAGCGAACGGACGAGAAGCUUGCUUCUCUGAUGUUAGCGGCGGACGGGUGAGUAACACGUGGAUAACCUACCUAUAAGACUGGGAUAACUUCGGGAAACCGUAGCUAAUACCGGAUAAUAUUUUGAACCGCAUGGUUCAAAAGUGAAAGACGGUCUUGCUGUCACUUAUAGAUGGAUCCGCGCUGCAUUAGCUAGUUGGUAAGGUAACGGCUUACCAAGGCAACGAUGCAUAGCCGACCUGAGAGGGUGGUCGGCCACACUGGAACUGAGCCACGGUCCAGACUCCUACGGGAGGCAGCAGUAGGGAAUCUUCCGCAAUGGGCGAAAGCCUGACGGAGCAACGCCGCGUGAGUGAUGAAGGUCUUCGGAUCGUAAAACUCUGUUAUUAGGGAAGAACAUAUGUGUAAGUAACUGUGCACAUCUUGACGGUACCUAAUCAGAAAGCCACGGCUAACUACGUG